rnacentral:lncRNA from 1 species
CUUCUUAAUUGUAGUGAGCUGAAACUAACAGCAACAAAAAAGCAACACAAAUAAUAACUACUAUCUAGUGAGAACUUACUAUAUAUCAGGGAUUGUACCAAGUCCUUCUCAUGUUUACCCAUUUAAUUCUCAGACUGUCUUUAUGAUACAGUGACAAUUAUUAUCAUGCCAAUUUUACAGGAGGGGCAACUGAUACAUGGAGAGGUUCAGUUGUCCCCAUAACAAGUAAGUUUCAGAGCCGAGGUUUGAACUAAUGCGGUCUCCCUCCCACAUCAGAGUUCUGGACCUUGGCAGUGGAUUAUCUCACUUCCUGCACCCUGUCAAGGGUUAAUUCUUGCCUUGUGCCAGGAGCACUGGCAGAUUUCUGGCAGUGUGUAUUCAUCCCUUUGCGGCCUUGGCACAGAUUCCCAUUCCCUUCUGCUGACUGAUCUCUCUUAAAAGAAAGUCAUUUUUGACAGAGACAUGCAUGGAAAGGUCCAGUUUAUAUGAGUUUAGUCAAGGAAUUUCCAGUCCUAUUGACAACUGAGUUGUAGCUUGCAGGACCCCACUAUUACUCAGGAAAAAGGCUGUGACCGAAUGGUUUCUGUCCUCUCUGCCGGCCAGCAUUUUGCAAUGUUGGUAGGGCCAGGCAUUAUGACAGGGAAUCCAGUUGUUGUUGUGCAUAUUUCUGAAGACACACGAUUCUGACAUCUGUAACCCUGCAGUCAGUCAAGGUUUGUACCAGCGUUGUAAUCUGUUUCAGGGCUGCCAAAUAGUUCUUUUGAAAAACUUACUGGCAGCUUACCCGUUUUCUGCUGUUGUGUUUUGAACAAGUGUUUCCCAAAACUAUUUCCUAACAGCACCAAAGGGUUGGAGGAGGAAGGAAAAUAAAACAGGAUAGUAGAAUUUACUGGGGAGGAAAAACACAAAGUGAAACCACCACCACCAUUUACCAGCGUCACUCCUAAGCCUGGACUGUGGCUCUGUGCUCUUCAUAAUUUGAAAUCAGAGCUUCUGAGCAGGCGCCCUUUCUCUGGCAAAGGUGAUCUCUGUUUUUAUUUAGGUUCAGAGAGGGGUUUCUCUUCACCCCUUUGGAAGUUUUCAGUUGGCAACUGUGACUUCCGGGAGAGAAGUUGCAGGCAGUGGAUGAUUGGAAAAUACCCAGUCGUAGAAGAGGCCAGAUGCAAAGAUGUUGAUGACCUGUGGGUUUCAAGGGCAGGAACUCCUUGUUCUGCAUGGUGACUGGUGUCACGUGUGUCCAGCUCAGGCCUGCUGACGGAGCCCGCUGCUCAUACCAUCUUGAGUUGAACAGACUGGACCAGAGGCCACUGGAAGCACAGCUCCUAAAAAAUACCAACAGUGAUUUUUGGCUUUUUCCCAGCAACCAGGGAAUCAGAUUGGAGCUAGGUCAGGGUUGUGAGCACCCAUUGCUCUCCUGCACAUUGUCCUUCCUUUUGGGGUUUUGGAAUACACAUGGAUAUAUUUAACUAGAUAUAUUACAUAUAUUUUAAAGAUAUAUACUUAGCGUAUAUAUUUAACAUAGAUAUUUCUAGAAUAUGCAUAUUCUGAAUAUAUGAAACAUCUAAGCUUGACAUUAUUUGUACAUAAAGCCCUUUGACUUGGAGUCAAGAUGUGCUGUACAGUUUGGUGCUGAGUGCUCUGGACGCCCCAGCAGGGCCGGAGAAAAUCUGCAGAGGCAGCAGCAACUGACCCUAACAGAGCAAGAGGCCUGACCUUCACACCUAUGUAACCCAAGGUCACAGAAAUGCUGAGGGGCCAUGUGACUCCAGUGAAGCAGGAGUAUCCAUCCAGCCACAGAGAUGGGACCUGUCCAAAUGGGACCUGUCUGUUCCAAAGGUUAUUCUGCUUGAAAAUCAGGCCAGGCAUGGUGGCUCACAACUGUAAUCCCAGCACUAUAGGAGGCCAAGGCAGAUGGAUGGCUUGAGCCUAGGAGUUUGAGACCAGCCUGGGCAGAAUAGUGAGACCCUAUUUCUACAAAAAAUACAGAAAAAUCAGCCAGGCUUGGUGGCAUGCUCCUGUAGUCCGAGCUACUCGGAAAGCUGAGGUGGGAGAGUCACUUCAGCCUGGGAGAUCAAGACUGCAGUGAGCAGUGAUGAAACUACUGCACUCCAGCCUGGGUUUCAGAGCAAGUCCCUGUCUCAGAAAGAAAAAAAAAAGAAAAAAGAAAACAAGUCAGUAUUUUCCCCCCAAAGAAAGGCUCAUGGGAAUCUUACAAAAUGAGGUUUUAGGAACCAAAAUUACUUCAUGUAGUACUCUCUAGUAAAGGCAGAGGAUGCAAAUGUUGCAGUGGGUCUCUGGUCAGCCGCCAUGAGUCUCUUGGAUCUAACACUUGCUCUCUUCAGACUUCAGUUUCCUCAUAAGGUGAGAACAAGGCUGUAUCUCAGUGCUCUGGGCCUGCUCACACAUCCUGCUCAUAUGAAUGUGAGAGCCACACCAGCCCUCUGGGAAGUAGUCCCUCAAACAGCAGCCCAGUGCAGGGGGAAGGAUGCAAACACUACAGGCAGAUCAGUUUAAUCCACUUUUGGGCAGGGUGACCUUAGGAAAGCCCAUUUCCUUCUGCCUCAAUUGUCACCUCUGUAAAAUGGAAACAAUAAUAUUUAUUUCCGUGGCUGUUUGGAGGAUUACAUAAAAUAACAAAUACAGUGGCAUUCCAUUUUUCUGAGGCAAUUAUGUUCUAUAAAGUCACUGCAAACACUGAAUUACUGGAAUAGUGAGCCAUUGCUCUUACUGGAAAUACAGGAUUAGGUUCCUGAAAAAUCUCUGGUCACAACAUCUUUGUCAACUGAUCAAUACAUAACCAUGAUGUAUGUGUGUUUCUUUUUAAAGGUACCUUAUUUAAUAUCAUUGUUGAUUCAUUAAUAUUAAACUCAUGCCUAAGAAUACUUUAAGUCAUAUCUGAAUGAAGCGUAUCUAAUAUGUAUAUUCUCUCUGAAGGUACAUCACUGCUCUCUUGCACUUAAACACACCAGACAGCACUUCAGCACUAUAUCUGGAGACCAUUUCAAACAGUAAAAUCUCCAAUAAAAGCAAAAAAAAAAAAAAAGUGAAAUUUAUGGCACUAAAUAGACUGCAGAAAGGACACCUGUUGAUAGGAUGAGAGCUGAAAAAAAAGGUAGAGGGCCGCAAGUGAUGGCUCACACCUAUAAUCCCAGCAUUUGGGAGGCCAAGGAGGGUGGAUCACCUGAGGUCAGGAGUGUGAGACCAGCCUGGCCAACAUGGUGAAACCUCAUCUCUACUAAAAAUACAACAAUUAGCUGGGCAUGGUGGCAUGCACCUGUAAUCCCAGCUACUCAGGAGGCUGAGGCAGGAGAAUCUCUUGAACCCGUGAGGAGGAGGUUGCAGUGAGCUGAGAUCACGCCACUACACUCUAGCCUGGGUGACGGAGUGAGACUCCAUCUUGGAAAAAAAAAAUAAAAGAAAAUAAAGAAGGUACAGCAUGGCCUCGCUCAGCUGGGAAUGUGUGUGUGCAUCAAGCAACUAUUUUUUUUUGCUGUUCUGUGCUUGUCUGUGAACAGCCAUGAAAAUGCCGAAACACUGCACAUGUUAAUAUUGGGGUUAUAAGUAAAUUUAGCGAGUAAGCAAAUUUGCAAAUAUGGAAUCUGCAAAUAAUGAUUUGACUGUGCUUAGUAAUUGGCCAGUAAAAAACUGGCAGCUUAUUAUAUUAUCAUCAGGGAAAGCAUAGGGUCUGGUAAAGAUCUGUUAGGGUACACUAGGAAUCCAAACUCCAACUGGUGCCCAUAGGAGUGGGAGGGAAAUCUGCAAGUGUGGAGCCCCUCAAAUCAAUGCUCCAGGGAGCCUUGAGUCCCUCUGUCACCUCUCGGCCAGGUCUCCAAGAACUCCCUAACUCCUUGGACUUAACUCUUGGAUCUCCCUGACAAUUGCAGUAGGUGAAAACUCCAGGGCCGCAGCAGGAGGCUGCUGCAUUUGAUGUCGAGGCUGUUGGCCCUCUCUAUGCCUAGGAUAAGCCCCGUUUGGCCUGGUCCAACUCAACCUGGCUCAAACGGCUGCAUGCCAUUGCUCGUAAGCACAGGCCUGUAUCCUGCCAUUGUUCUGGGAAUGACCACGGUGGGACCGACCGGCAGGAGAAUAGCACUACAGAUAGGGAGUGUGUUUCCAAACUGCAGGGUCACAGGGAAAAAGAAAUUGACCUGUUCCACAUCACACCACCCCCUUCCUGCUCUCCACCCUAACUCUCCGGUCAGGUGACCAGAGAAGCCCCAGGGGGUCCUUAACCUGGAUUUGUGCACUUUCCCAGGAAGCCAGCAGGAAAAGAAAGGGAACUCCCAUUUCUCAAGCCUUUCUCUGUGCCAAGCCUGGUGCUUGCCACUUUCCAUUUCCUGCCUCGUGGAGUCCUCCCAAUAACCCUGCAGUGUCCAGACCAUCCUGGGUUUCAGAUGAGGAAACUGAGGUUCAGAGUGGCCCAGUGAAUAGCAAUGAAUGCAACCCCAUUUGACGUUUGGCAGCAUUAACUCAUUUUGAGCCACAAUGCGGGAUUCUGUUACAGAGACUUUUCAAAGAGCAUAAAAGAGUUGCAUAAAAGCGACUUCACAGGGGCCCUGUAACAAUCAUUAAGAUAAAAUAUAAUAAUAAUAAUAAGAGCAAUAACGACAACUUCUGAGUGUUUUCUAAAUGAAUAAACUAUACUAAGUGCUUUACAUAACUUUCCCUCAAUUAACCAUUUCUGCGACAUUCUGAGUUAUGAAUUAUCAUUAUGCCCAUUUUACAAAUGAGGUAUCUGAGGCUCAGAGAUGUAAGCUGACUUGCCUGGGGUUACGGAGGUCAUAACUUAGAAAACAGGGGAGCGGGGGACUAGAAUCCAGAGCCUCUCCUCUUACUUGUCACGCUAGAGGCUGGGGCCAAAGUGGGGCCCCUUUCUCAUUCUCAAUCCCCCUCCCAUACCCUCGGUGUCUCUUUCAUCUCACAGUGCGACAGGCAGCAAAGGUUGCCAGGAGCCCCAGUCCCUUCGUCUGCAGGAAGAGGCCAGAGCCUUCUAAACCAGAGGUACUGUGCUUGCUGCUGCUGCUGCCUGGUUAUUCCCAUCCCUUCCUGCUCAUUAGCCUCAUUCUCUUCCUCAUCCCCACCAGUUUCAUCCCCAUCAUGCUACAGGGCUCAAAAGAUUCCUACUCUCCCAGCCUCCUUUUGGCUCCAACUUGUUCAUUUUUAGAGUUUCUUGUAAGCUCCAGGACUUCUGUUCUGUUAGCCUUUGUUUCCACAGAGAAGGACAAUGAAAGGACCUACCAUUUAUUGAAGUCCUACUGGAUGCUGGGCACUGUGUUAAGCCACCAUGCCCAGUGAUGAGUAUUACUACCACCCUUUUACAGACGAAGUCACUUGAGAAAGAUCAAGUCACUUCCCCAAGAUAACAGUGGAUGAUUCUCAUAGAGCUAGAAUUGGAAACCUGGAAAAGAAUUACUGAGGAAUCCUUGGUUUUGAAAGAAUAUCAUCUGCUUCCUUUUCUCUCCUCCAUUCCCUUCCUGCUAGUGUGUUCAUUAGUGUUUUAAUGGGGUGGUUUUCUUAGGGGGACUAUGAAUUUGGAGCUUUCAUCUGAUGGCCCACCAAUACUUGCAAUGGGAUCAAUGAGCUCUUCACACUCAGGAGGUACCCAAAUUGCAUGCACAUAGAGUUUCUAAGUAUUUCUUGAUCAUCUCUCACUGCAAGGCCAACACAGAAGCACGCAUACAAUCCCAGCAUCUUCUCUCCUGUCCUGAUCUUGGGGGUGGGCGGUGAGGGUAAUAGUUAAAUUGUGGGAGGUAAGGCAGAUGGAUGGGAGGUGCUGAGCUCCUGACUUGCAGCCCUCAUUCACGCCCUGGCUGAUGCAGGCUUCCUCCCACUUGCAUUGUGCUGACCACAUGGCCUUGUCAUGGAAACAUAGACUGGAGCCUCAUGAGCAGGCCAAAUCUCUCCCUCCCUCAGGACACUGCUGGAACAAGAGGCUGUGGAAAGCCUCGUUUGGCACUGGGAAAGGUAGUCUUGGGCUUUGGAGCCAGAAAGACCAGGGUUGUGUGGUCAGUGCCACAGUUUAUCUGAGUGACCUUGGGUAAGUCACUCUACCUCUCUGAACUCCAGUUCCCUCACCUAUAAAAUGGAGAAAAUAAUGCAAACGUUAUAAGGCCAGGAAUUUAGCAAAAGUAUGUAUUUUGGUAAUAAACCAGGUGCUCAAUAGAUGUCAUUCUCCCUCCUUCUCUUCCUCUUCAGAGCAGGAUUAGGGUGAGAAGAGCUAAAAGAAGGUGUCCAAAUCCACUUUUCAUCAGCCACCUUAGGACAGAACUAAUUCCCUGCCCAAAGGCUCCUGGCCAGAAUGACAAUCAGUCCAAAGCUGAAGAGUCUUCAACUGAUCAGAGGCAUAGAUGAGCUUAGCCCACCUUUUGCCUUCCUGAAUUAAAAUAAAACCUCUCACUAGAGAUACUAAGGGAAAUCCUUUAGAAGCUGAAGUCAGUGAGAAUGAACACAAUAAAGAAUUUUGGACAUGGUUUACAUUUUAUGCAUGCUAUUAUUAAAUGUUGAGUAAAAUAAUAUGUUAUCUUGAGUAGGGAUUAAGACCAGAGGCCCUGGAGGCCAUAUGUCUAUACAUUCAAAUUCCUGCUGGCCCUCUUAUUAGCUGAGUGACCUCAGGCAAGAUAUUUAAUCUCUUUGUGCAUCAAUUUCCUGAUGUGUUGAUAGUAAGAAUGAAAUCUACCUCAUAAAGUUGUUAUAAAGACUUAAGAAAUUAUUAUAUGUAAAAUGCUUGGAGUACUGAAUAACACAUAGAAAGUGCUCAAUAAAUAAUAUUUGUUUAUGUAUUUUAUUUUACUGAGGUAGAGACUGAGUCAAAAAAAGACUAGAUAGAUGCCUCAGGAAAAAAGGGAGAGAAGAUUCUACUUCAUUAAUUAGUAUUCUAUGUUGUUUUGUUUGGCAGCUGCUUAAUUAAAAACUUCUGUAAUCUUGAUUAGAACUAUUAAUCAGUGUCAAUGAUUCUUUAUAAAUUGUGCCAGGAGUAUGAGUAUUAAGGUUUUGCAUUUAUUAGGAUGAAAAAUUGCCCCCUUUAACCAGUAGUUUUAUAAAACUGUUAAGAACUGGAAGAGACUUUGAAUAUAGGAGAUUGAGAGGAUUGCUACCAGUAAGGCCAUGGACAACUUGCUUCUGCAGAGUGAUGUUGACUUGAAGUUUCACAAUUAUAUAACCUUCAUUCAUUAAUUUAUUAACUCAACCACAUUUCAUAAACAGGCACUUGCAUUAGGCACUGUAGCAGGCCUACAAAUAGAGAGAAAAGAAGGCCAGUCCCUGAUCCCACAAUGCUUGAAGUCUGCUGGGGAGAUAGAAGUGCAAAUGGACCAUGACUGCAUUGUGAUCAAUACCUUAAUGGAGACACAAAUGAGAUACCGUGAAGGUGCAAGUAAUGGAGUCCCAAGUCCAUCAGGGGAGGCUUCACAGGGUAGUGAAGGUCAUGCAGUGCAUUCAUGGCAGUGAUAGACAGUUAUCCUCACCCAGUGUUCUCUCACUGCCUCAUGCUGGCUUUCCUACCAAGCAUACCUCAGUGAAAGGUCCCAUAACCUGAGAGCUAACUGAAUUAUUGAAUGUUUAUUAGGAGUCAGGCACUGUGCUAGGCACUUCACAUAAAUUAUCUUAUUUAGUUAUUGCAUUGGCCUUACAAGGGAAGUGCUAUUAUCUCCAAUUUAUAGAUGGGAAAAAUUAGACUCAAAAAAGGUUAAAUAAAUGUAGUAAAAUCACGCAGCUGGUGCAGAGUAAUGGCUGAGCUGUGGCUUAAAUGCAGGUCUCUCAGGGUCUGUAUGAGUCUUUUCUCACAGCUAUAAAGAACUACCUGAGAUUGGGUAAUUUAUAAAGAAAAGAGGUUUAAUUGCCCCAGUUCCACAGGCAGUACAGGGGGCAUGGCUGGGGAGAGCUCAGGAAACUUACAAUCAUGGCAGAAGGGCAAAGGGGAAGCAAGUACGUAUUCACAUGGUGGCAGGAGAGAGAGAGAGAGCAAAGGGGGAAGGGCUACAUACUUUUAAACAACUAGAACUCAUGAGAACUCACUCUCUAUCACAAGAACAGCAAGUGGGAAAUCUUCCCCCAUGAUCCCAUUACCUUCCACCAGGUCCCUCCCCCAACACUGGGAUUACAAUUCAACGUGAGAUUUGGGUGGGACACAGAACUGAACUAUAUCAUUCUGCCCCUGGCCCCUCCCAAAUCUCACGUCCUUCUCACAUUUCAAAACCAGUCAUGCCUUCCCAACAGUCCCCCAAAGUCUUAACUCAUUCCAGCAUUAACUCAAAAAUCCAAGUCCAAAGUGUCAUCUGAGACAAGGCAAGUUCCUUCCACCUCUGAGCCUAUAAAAUAAAAAACAAAUUAGUUACUUUCAAGAUACAAUGGGGGUACAGGCAUUAGGUAAACCUGGAACAGAGAGAAAUCAGGGUUUUUAGUGUGUUUGGCAGAAGACAUUUCUAGAGAAAUCGACCAAAACAAAGGGACCACAGGCUGCAUGCAAGCCUGAAACCCAGCAGGGCAGUCAUUAAAUCUUAAAGCUCUGAAAUAAUCUCCUUUGACUCAUGUCUCACAUCUAGGGCAUGCUGAUGCAAGCAGCAGGGUCCCAUGGCCUUGGGAAGCUUCACAUCUGUGGUUCAGCAGGGUACAGCCCCCUCAGCUCCUUUCAUGGGCUGGCAUUGAGUGCCUAAAGCUUUUCCAGGCACAUGGUGCAAGCUGUUGGUGGAUCUACCAUUCCGCGGUCUGGAGGAUUGUGGACCUCUUCUCACAGCUCCACUAGAUAGUGGCCCCGUGGAGACUCUGUGUGGGGGCUCCAACCCCACAUUUCCCCUUCACACUGUCCUAGUAGAGGUUCUCCAUAAGGGCUCUACCUCUGCUGCAGACUUCUGCCUGGAUAUCCAGGCAUUUCCAUACAUCCUGUGAAAUCUAGGCAGAGGAUCCCAAACCUCAACUCUUGCAGUCUGCACACCUGCAGGCUCAACACCAAGUGGAAGCCACAAAGGCUUGGGGCUUGCACCCUCUAAAGCAAUGGCCUGACCUGUAUAUUGGCCCCUUUUAGCCAUAGCAGCAACUGGAGUGGCUGGGAUACAGGGCACUAUGUUCUGAGGCUGUACGGAGCAGCAGGGCCCUGGACCUGGUCCAUGAAACCAUUUUUUCCCUCCUAGACCUCUGGGCCUGUGAUGGCAGGGGCUGCUAUGAAGGUCUCUGAAAUGCCUUGGAGGCAUUUUCCCCACUGUUUUGGCUAUUAACAUUUGGCUCAUCUUAUGCAAAUUUCUGCAGCCAUCUUGAAUUUCUCCCCGGAAAAUGGUUUUUUCUUUCCUACCACAAAAUCAGGCUGCAAACUUUCCAAACUGUUAUGUUCUGCUUCGCUUUUAAAUAUAAGAUCUCUUUACUUGUGGAAGUGAGCGUAGGCUUUUAGAAGCACCCAGGCCACAUCUUGUAUGCUUUGCUGAUUAGAAAUUUCUUCUGACAGAUAUCUUAAAUCAUCUCUCUCAAGUUCAAAGUUCCACAGAUCCCUAGAGCAGGGGCACAAUGCCUCCAGUCUCUUUGCUAAAGCAUAGCAAGAGUGACCUUCACUCCAGUUCCCAGUAAAUUCCUCAUCUCCAUUUGAGACCACCUCAGCCUGGACUUCAUUGCCCAUAUAACUGUCAGCAUUUUGAUCCCAACCAUUUAACAAGUCUCUAGGAAGUUCUAAACUUUCCCUCAUCACCUUAUCUUCUUCUGAGCCUUCCAAACAGUUCCAAACUCUGCCCAUUACCCAGUUCCGAGGUCAUUUCCACAUUUUCAGGUAUGUUUAGAGCAAUAGCCUGCUCCUGGUACCAAUUUUCUGUAUUAGUCCCUUCUCACACUGCUAUAAAGAACUACCUGAGACCAGGUAACUUAUAAAGGAAAGAGGUUAAAUUGACUCACAUUUCCACAAGCUGUACAGGAGGCACGGCUAGGGAGGCCUCAGGCAACUUAUGAUCAUGGCAGGAGGGAAGGGGAAGUAAGCAUGCCUUCACAUGGCAACAGGAGAGAGUGGGCGAAGGGGGAAGUGCUACACACUUUUAAAUAACCAGCUCUCAUGAAAACUCAUGCACUAUCAUGAGAACAGCAAGGGGGAAAUUCACCCCCAUGAUCCAAUCACCUCCCACCAGGUCCCUCCCCCAACACUGGGGAUUACAAUUCAACAUGAGAUUUGAGCCAGGACACAGAGCCAAACCAUAUCAGGAUCCAGUCCCUGUGCCAGCAAGGCUAAUCAACUAGCUCUAUUAUGUUUUCACUGAGUCUAUAAUUCCACCUGAAGUAGAACCUUUACCCAGAUGCCCUGUCUGAAAAGCCUGGGCUUUAAGAUUAUGUGAUAUGGAGGAAAGAGCUUAGGAUUUGAAAUGGUUUGCAUUGUCCUAUUGCCUUCUAGCCAUAAGGUGCUUACUACCUAGAACCUAAGCUUAAUCUUAUGAAAAAAUGGGCCUAGUGACAUGCAUAUCUUUUCUUGGGGUCUUAUGAGGCUUCCAUGAAAGAAAAGAGAAUAAUUCUAAGACAGUAUUUUAUAAAAGUAAAAUGUAUGUUAAAGUAUGUUAUUGGAGAAGAAGUGUAUUUUAUAAAAAUAAAAUUUAUGUUAAAGUAUGUUAUUGGAGAAGAAGUGUAUUGGACAGGCAAUGGAAAGUAUCCUAGCUAGUUUAGGCAGAAAAACAAUUUAAUGUAAGGAAAAUGAUGUGUACAAAAUCGUUGGAAGUUCUAGAAAAUGAGCUCUAGAUUAAAAGAUAAUUUUGAAAUAUAGUUUUUAGCAUUUAAUUAUUAUUAGUUUUUUGAGACAUGGUCUCACUCCAUUGCUCAGGUUGGAGUGCAGUAGUACAAUCAUGG